AUUUAAAAUCAUUUGAUUCAUGAGCUUAAUACCUAGGCGAUGGAUUGAUGUGUGUAGCAAACCACCAUGGCACACGUUACCUAUGUAACAAA